rnacentral:rRNA from 1 species
AUUGAACGCUGGCGGCAGGCUUAACACAUGCAAGUCGAACGGUAACAGAAGAAAAGCUUGCCUUUCUUGCUGACGAGUGGCGGACGGGUGAGUAAUGCUUGGGAAUCUGCCUUAUGGAGGGGGAUAACUACGGGAAACUGUAGCUAAUACCGCGUAAUAUCUACGGAUUAAAGUGUGGGAUCUUCGGACCACAUGCCAUAAGAUGAGCCCAAGUGAGAUUAGGUAGUUGGUGAGGUAAAGGCUCACCAAGCUGACGAUCUCUAGCUGGUUUGAGAGGAUGACCAGCCACACUGGGACUGAGACACGGCCCAGACUCCUACGGGAGGCAGCAGUGGGGAAUAUUGCACAAUGGGGGAAACCCUGAUGCAGCCAUGCCGCGUGAAUGAAGAAGGCUUUCGGGUUGUAAAGUUCUUUCAGUGGUGAGGAAGGGAUGAUAUCUAAUAGGUGUCAUCAUUGACGUUAGCCACAGAAGAAGCACCGGCUAACUCCGUGCCAGCAGCCGCGGUAAUACGGAGGGUGCGAGCGUUAAUCGGAAUAACUGGGCGUAAAGGGCACGCAGGCGGUUGUCUAAGUCAGAUGUGAAAGCCCCGAGCUUAACUUGGGAAUUGCAUUUGAUACUGGGCGACUAGAGUCCUCUAGGGAGGGGUAGAAUUCCACGUGUAGCGGUGAAAUGCGUAGAGAUGUGGAGGAAUACCGAAGGCGAAGGCAGCCCCUUGGAGAGAGACUGACGCUGAGGUGCGAAAGCGUGGGUAGCAAACAGG